rnacentral:lncRNA from 1 species
GGGUCUCUCUCCAACGCAUCCACUGAGUUUAAUUCCAAAAGAACUGUGCUCCCGCUAAUGAGCAUCCUGUCGUCAGUCACCACAGCGACGCUUUCUCUACCUGUCAGAGACAACUGAAGCUAGACGCCUUGUCACACAUAGUCGUGUGGACUUGCCUGUUUUCCGCGUUCCAGCUAAGGGUCUUCUCUGGGCCAGCUUAUCGCCGCCCGUUCGGCUCUCAACUGAACGACACGCGGCAGGAAAGCCUCUUUUCUUCCUCUCUCUGACUGUCAGAGUAUGCAGCGAAGUCCGAUGGGUGCCGUCUUUGUCGCUGCUCCUUCGUGCUACUAAAAAAAAGUAGAGAGCUUCUCUCAAGACUUCCAUGCGGUGUACAUACACCCCAACUGACACCCCUGGUUCGGGGAUUUAGGUAUCUUUGCUUUCAAGUUUCCUGCCAGCUUUUUGCCUGCUUCUUUGUGCAGUGUGUGACACAGCAUCCAGCAAGACAGCAUGUGUUUAGAGUAGAACCUCUUUCAACACAGAGUGGCAGUUUCGUGUAGAGACUGGUGUCUCGCGCUCUCAACAAGAAGAGGCAGAGCGACCUUCCCUGUGAGAACUUGUCGCCGAGCCUUUCAAUAAUUUGUCGGGAGGCUUUACAACGAAGCUCUCCCGUCUAAUCUACGGGUUUUUUCGGUGGCUCGGAUAAAACCAUUUCUCUGCUGUUCGUGCUGGGGGAAUUCUUUCUCCUAAGAAGAUCCACCAGCAAAGCCGUGGAGAACCGAGCCCGGCAACCGUGUGCGGUGUCCCCCAGAGAAAACGCAGUCGUUCAGUGAAGGGCAGCAAUCUCUGUCUUCCGCAAAAGCGAUCGCCGACGAAGAUGCAAACAUUUUCUCUCAAAAAACGCGUCC